CUGAAGUUUACAAUCUUAUGUUCGUAUCUCUCUCUAUAGAUCUCUUAUCAGCAGUUGGAGGAACUUGUCUAAAGUUUACUAACCAAAGGUAUGGCUAAGUUGUGCAGCAGUCAUUUUUCACAGCCACACGAGAAAAGCCUGGAAAAGCGAAAUCGGAAAGAUUUCCUAAAGGUUAUUUUGCACACUCUCAUUGACGCCAUCAAUACGACGACAACGAUUCACAAUCCAAAAAAAAUCCUAUGCGAAAACCUAGA